GUUGCCAGUCAGUUCAGUUGGGCGACUCUAUGGAAACUGCCGGUGAUAAGCCGGAGGAAGGUGUGGAUGACGUCAAGUCCUCAUGGCCCUUACGGGUUGGGCUACACACGUGCUACAAUGGUGGUGACAGUGGGUUAAUCCCCCAAAAGCCAUCUCAGUUCGGAUUGUCCUCUGCAACUCGAGGGCAUGAAGUUGGAAUCGCUAGUAAUCGCGGAACAGCAUGCCGCGGUGAAUACGUUCCCGGGCCUU
rnacentral:rRNA from 1 species